GUAUUUUUGUGUUACACAGUUGGUCUCAUAAAUAGUUGGUAAACCAAUUACUAAAUUACAAGUAUCAUCGAAGUCAAUAAUAAAUAAAUAUAAUAUUGGAGCAGUUUUGAAAACAAUAUUUUUAUACCACUUAUCAAAAUGGAGCUCAACUCUAUAAUGUUUCACCAAUCGGAUGUGAUUCUUUCAUCUAAUCUCCAACAUUAUUUGUCCUUCAUUUAUAUAGUUGACUAGAGAGGCUAUGCAAACUGGAAUCCGGGAUGUAGACUCACUGAGUCACUGGUGAUAAUUGGUACAGUAGAUAAUAUAAGUUGAUCGUUGAUGAUGGACCGAUCGGAAAGAGUUUUUUGGCUAUUGAGACUAUUAUUAAUUAAGAGCGUUUCGAUUAUGCUGGUGCGGAGAAGAAAAAGUUCUGUAUCUACAUUGCUAUCGGUCAAAUGAGAUCUACAGUAACUUGGAUCGUGAAAAUAGUGACGGCACUGCUAUUAACUAUUCUAUCAUCGUAUUCGAUACCGUGUCUGAUGCUGCUCUUUUCUUACACUUUUUUGCCAUGUGCCAUGGCAGAACUUUUUUUUUGUGACAACGGCAAACAUGUCUUCAUUAUUUAUGAUGAUUUGUCAAAAUCGGUAAUUGCUUACCAUUAAAUACUUUUAUUUUUGAGACGACC